GAAAAUUGCUUCUAAUUUCUUUUAUCCAAGUGAGAUAUAUGGCAUAAUAUUCUUCCAUUUUUAUAUGAAAGGCCUUUUUUUUAUUUCUCUAUUCCACUCCAUUUAGAUCUAAGAAAGAACCCAAUACAAUGAAAUUCCACUAGUAUACAAAAAAAUAAAUAGAUACAAACAAAAGGUCUCAAACCUUGUUAUAGAAUUUGUGUUUCAAAGAAAAGAAAUAUCAUAUAUAUUCAGCGAAUGAAAUAGAGUCGGCGAAUGAAGCGGAUUCAUUAACAACUCAAUUUACG
rnacentral:lncRNA from 1 species